ACAGACCUUCAGGGCAGGGUGAAAUUCCCGACCGGCGGUGAUGAACGGAGACUUGCGUAUGCAAGACGUUCUUAGUCCGUGACCCGGGUGGAUUCGUCCACACGGUGGAUCUGGUGCAACUCCAGGGCCGACAGUAUAGUCUGGAUGGGAGAAGGGGCGU
rfam:Paenibacillus alvei DSM 29 PAV_3c, whole genome shotgun sequence.